UUAAGGUUAUGUUACGUUCUUACGUUAUUGUUGUUAUAAUGGUGCGUUGUUUACUGUAUUUAUCUUUUACUAAGUCUGAAAAUGCUUUACUAUUUGAUUUUUUAUUUUCAUAUUAAUAUAUAACUAUCAGAAAAAAUAAGCUCCAACAUUUUAAAGCUCUUUUUUGGUAUUUUAGAAAUUUAUUUUUUAUUAAAACUUUUAAUCUUCAAUGACGGUAUAAUCAUUACAAUAUUCCUAUUAGGCUAUAAUUCUAAAUGAGUAUGAUUGCUUCAGAAACAUUGUUGAUACGACAUCUAUCUAACGAGUUGAGUGAUUCUGAAAAAGAGGAUUUCCUUAGAUAUUUUGGAGCCAUAUCUGUAAAGAUAUUGGGUGGAAAAAACAAAAAAUCAAGUAAUGCUUUUAUCAAGUUUAAAACACAUGCUGCAGCAGAAGCAGCUAUCAAACGGCUGCAUCAAACAGAACUUUUGGGACACCUCAUUUCAGCGGAAUUCGCCCGCGAUAAAGAGAAGGUGGAAUGGAUACAGAAUAAACCAGCAUGCAUUCAGACAGUGGAUGAUGAAAGUAAAACUCGAAGAUACCAUGAAACUUUCUUACAUAAACUGAACAGCUGGUCGAAUGGUCUCGAUUUGAAUGCUCCUCCUCCCGUACAUCUCACCUAUCAGUAUCCUCCACCUUCGAAAUCAGUUCUUUCCAACAUCUGUAAAACAUUAGCUGUUGUGCCAAAAUUCUAUACCCAAGUGUUACAUCUUAUGAAUAGAAUGAACUUACCAUGUCCUUUCACAGAGUCUUUUUCAAUUGAAUCGAGUCUCGUAGUAGAUAAUACACCUGAUGACCGCUCAGAAAAUCAGUCUGCUAGCGAGAUAGGUGAAAGUUUAACAGCGGCUUCGAAUAAAGAAGAUAAUGAAUCGGAUGCUGAAAGUGAGGAAUCAGAGAUUGAAAGUGACGGAAGUUUAAAACAGAAUGAGGUUUUUCCUCUGAAAAGAAAAACUCAGCAAAAUAAAGGAAUAAGUAAAGUAAAGAGGUUGAAACUUUUGAAACAACCUCAGUUGAGCGGUCCGUGUGUGAAGAAUGUAAUCCCGACUGAGGAGGUGUUUGAAAAGGUUUCCAGCAAAGACAUUCAAUCAAAGAAAAUACAGAUGAAAAUCACUUCCGAUCUGAGCUCAAUUCAAGAGGCUGAAGAAACUCAAAAAGGUAUUUGUACUGUUGAAGGAUUCGAAAAGUUGCCAGCAAGAUUGAGUGCGGCCAAUGAGCAACAAAAGGAAUCAAUGGAAGAAAGAGAUGAGGAGAUGAGUAGCUCUGCUACUUGUAUCACUGAACAACAGCUAGCAGCCAACAGGAUAUCAACUCGAGAUCAACGCAUUCUUCCAGUGUUCAAAAACUACCAGACCGGACCACCUUCAUGUCGUUUGUAUAUAAAAAAUUUGGCUAAGCAAGUUCAGACAAAAGAUCUCCACUUCAUUUAUAGAAGAUAUCUUCUACCUUCGGAAGAUGAACAAGGGACAAUGUUCGAUAUAAGGCUGAUGCAAGAAGGCAGAAUGAAAGGACAGGCGUUUGUAACAUUGCAGAGUGUCGAGAUUGCUCAGAGGGCACUGAAAGAAACAAAUGGAUUCAUUCUCAAAGAUAAACCAAUGGUUGUUCAGUUUGCAAGAUCGGCAACAGUCAAGUGAAUGCAUCGCAGAACGAAUGGAUUAAGUACCUGCAUCAAUUUGCGACAACCCUGACAUUACUCUGAGUUAACUGAAUAGGAAAACUUCACGUGCGGAUCUUAUCUAAAGAAGCCCUCAAGUUUAUUUCUCUUGUGAAGUAUUUCCUGAAUCAUAAUUUAUUGAAGAUCGUUCUAUUCUGGUGGAUGUGAAACUGAAAAAAUUAGCUGAUCUCCGUCGAAGAAUUCUGCCUAGAGACCUACCAUCUGUAUAACUACCUGGAUCUCCCGCAUAUAUCUGAAAAGUAAUCAAUUGUGUAAGUUAUCUAGUGUGCAAAGAGGCACUUGCUGCACGAAAGAAAAGUUAACACACUAGCCAUAGGUGAGUGCAGGUGAACUCAAGUGCAGCAAAGAAACUUUUACACACGUUUACAUAUUGAAUUCUUUCUAGAGCUACCAUUCAAUUUCAACAUGUACGAAGAGGGGAGUAUAUUGAAACGAAUUUUGAUUACGAAUCAAAUUUCAUUUCCCUUUCAUUUAUAAAAUAGCAAAUAAGUAUUAACAUUUAGAAAGAAGAAUAAGAACAAAGAGAGCAUUUAUUUAUUUGUGCUUACUCAACCAGCUGUGGGUGAGCACCCAGCCAGUGCGAGGCAUUGGCAAAGGGUAGAAAUCAUUUUCUCCUUAUUCAGUUGCCAGCAAGCAGCCCUAGGUUUUACAACUACUCCACGAUGUGAUUAUUCACUUCAAGUUUCUUUCUUUCUAUUUUGUUAAGUGAUUUUGAAUUUUUCGACAUAUGAAGAUAUUUGUAUAUAAGCUAUACUCAAACCCGCUAUUCAAGCGGUCCAUGUUUGUGGCAAACUAAUUUACUACUGACUAUGGAAGAACGAUCCUUUUUAAUGCCAAAUCAAUCCACAAUUAUGAAUAGGAGACAAGGGACUCCAAGUGCAUCAUAUGAGGAACAGGUUAAAACGGAUAUGGAGGAUAGGAAAUAAUUGCCAAACUGUGUUUUCUUUUAAGCAAUUAUGGAACAUCUUUACCAAAUAUUCUGUGACGUAACUCGGUACCGAGGUAAUGUGACGAUCAAAUUAUAUUUUCCGGCAUUGAGAUUCAUGAAAGACUUAAACAAAUAAAUGGGCCCAUCAUCAAUUUAGAAUAAGGAUAUUGUCAUGUAUAUGGAGUUUUGUAAAGUGGUAAUCCUUUUUUUUAUAAUGAAUUGAAACAUUCAUUGUG